AAAAACCAAGAUUAUAGAAAUGUAAAAUAUGGUUUCAAAUACAGAAGAAAGAAAGAGGGGGUGGGAUUAGUGAAGGACAAUGAAACAUGGAAGCCAGAAGCAGAUUAUGUUGAAAAGUAAAUAGCACAAAGUGAGAGCUGGAGAAAUUUUACAUUCAUUGCAAUCACCUAUGGAAAUACAACAUGCUGGGGAUGUAGUUCAAUUGUUAGAGUGCUUGCCUCGAUUGCAGGAAACUCUGGGUUUGUUCCCCAGCUUCACAUAGACUGGAUGAAUUUCCUUUGUGUGGAUUUCUUCUAACUGUUGUGUGGCUGUUUUAUUAUUUCACUUGGACAAAUGCUGAACAAAAUUGCUGAGUUGUGGGACAGGGACAUUUACUCUCUUAAGAAAUGCCUGGCUAAGAUUUAAAAUUGGUUUUGUUUUUUGUUUUUUCCAGACCAGGGGUUUCUUUGUAGCUUUGGAGGCUGUCUUGGAACUUGCUCAGUAACACCAGGCUGACCUUGUACUCACAGAGAUCCAUCUGCUUCUGCCUCCCCAGUGCUGGAUCAAAGGUUUGUGUGCCACCAUCGCUUGGCUAGGAUUUUUAAAUUUAAUAUGCUAAUGGCUCAUGUCCAUAAUCCUAUCACUUGGAAGGUGUAGGCAAGGAGGAGCAAGAGAUCAAGCUUAUUAUUGUAUAAGUAACAAAUUUGACUUUGUUUAUUUGAGACAGGUUUUCUCUGUGUAGCCCUGGCUGCCCUGGAACUCUGAAACCUGGGAAAACCUUGAACUUCAGAUCCUCUGGUCUCAGUAGAUGGGAUUACUGUUGUGAGCCUUUGGACUAGGAUUUCAGAAAUGGAACUCAGGAAGUCCCUAUAUUCAUACAUGUACCUGCAGAGGCCAGAGGAAGACGCCUGGGUCUUCUGUCACCCUUCACCUAGUUCCUGGGGUGCAUGCAAGGAGACCAGGGAGAUUACAGUUGAGAGAUUGCCAUGGAUCUCAGAAGAGACUUUGAAACAAGUCUAAGACUGUUGUAGACUAUGGGGACUUUUGAAGGUGGACUGAAUGUGUUUUUGCAUUAUGAUACGGCCACAAGCCUUUGGGGACCAGGGAGUACAAUAUGGUGAUUUGAAAGAAAGUGGCCCCUAAAUUGAGUGGCAUUAUUAGGAGGUAUGGCCUUGUUGGAAGAAGUGUGUCACUGUGUGGGUGAGGUUUGAAGUCUCUAUGCUUAAGCUACACCUAGUGAGACAGACUACUUCCUGUUGCAAGUCAAGAUGUAGAAUUCUCAGCUCCUUUUCCAGCACCAUGUCUGCCUGCAUGCCACCAUGUUGCACCAUGACAAAAUGGACUAAACCUCUGCAAAUAUAAGCCAUCUCAUUAAAGUUGCCAUAAUCAUGGUAUCUCCUCACAGCAAUAGAAACCUUAACUAAGCAUACUUACUUAUCCUUUCUGUUCCUCUCAAGAUGAUUGUAAACAACCACUACUUUUCAGGGGCAUGAUCGUUGUCUUGAAGGAUUUUCAGGAUUUUGUUAAUCACAAGAUGGACUUAUGCAGCAUCCUGUGAGUCCCUCAGUAUCAUACCCAUCUGAGGGAGUCAGGACAGUUAAGUUUGUUCCUUCAGUCAGCAGACUUGAGCCAGGUAGGGCAGAGACAACUGGGUCAGGCCCCACCCCUUGGAUCUACACAUGUAUACAUGCAAAAAUAAAAAUGUAUUUGUGGGGUAUGUGUGCCAUAGCAGCUAUGAGGUGGUUAGCUCGGGCAUUGGUUUUUCUCUUCCAACAUGUCGGUUCCAGAACUCAAACUCAGGUGGCAAGUGCUUUUACCAACUGAGCUACCUGCCUCAUCCCUCACCCUCCUGGGCCAGGCUCCAAACUCUUGAACUUUUGCUUUCUCCUCUCUCCGUGUGUGUGUGUGUGUGUGUGUGUGUGUGUGUGUGUGUGUGUGUGUGUGUGUGAUUUGUGAUUUGUGAUUUGUGAUUUGUGAAC